GGGGGUGACUCGGUUUCGACGCGGGUUGCAAAGCCGUUGGAGCAUGUCGAGGUGCAGGUACCUCGUAAAACCGUCUGCAAAAAAUUAGUUGCCAACGACGACAACUACGCCUUAGCGGCUUGACCGCUGAGCCCUGUGAUCACUUCGUCUGAAAGGUGUGAAUCAGGGUCAAUAAUUUCGGACUAGUGUGCAGGGAGUGUUUCGUAUACUUGCAUAUGAAGUUGCUGCUUCGGCAGACGAAACCACCGCAUUCCGUAUUGUCUGUCCUGACUGGAUGUGGUUGAAUCAGGGAUAGACUAAGCAUGUAGUCGCCAGCGAGUAGAGGGCUCACGGACGCGGGUUCGAUCCCCGCCACCUCCACCA
rnacentral:tmRNA from 1 species